AAAACACAACACACACACAAGAGUGUGUGUGUGCGUGCGUGAGAUGGAGCAGGAGACAAGCUCCAUGGGAGCUAACCCUAGAAUCAACAAAUUCACCAAAUUGAAGCUCGAAUCAAGAUCCAAAUCAAUGCAUGAACGCGUAGAAACGAUCACCAAGUCAAGGGGAUCGUGAGUUUGACUCUUGACGAGCUAGGUGAAGCAUGGAGGAGAUGAUCAAACGGGAUAAAGGCACGAGUAAGACUUGCUUGGAUGAAAGGUAAGUUAAGCUUACACCCCCUCUUUAAUUAUAAUACACUUACUUGUGAAUUUUGGUUGUGAAUAAUAUUAAGUAAUUGAAUUAUGAUGUUCCGGCAUGAUACAAUGCAAGUCGGAAUAAGUAAAAAGGUAAGAAACCAUAAAUUAUGGUAAAAAGGGGUAAAAUAGUAGAUUAGUCGGGUAAGGACUAAUAAAUAACGAAUUUUGAAAUAAUUCGUUAUGCUGUAAACCGGAAUGGGUAAAAGAGCAAGAUGGUAACUAGAUAUCAUUUCAUAAUGGAAAAUGGUCGUUCGGGCUAAACGGGUCAAAUGACAUUGGUAAAAUCAUUUGACAAUAAUAACUGACGACUACUUGUUGAGUUUUUAUGAUCACAGGAAAUAACAUGUGCGCGCAAUGCUUUAACUAGAAAAAUUUAAGCAAAAAGUAUGUAUACGGGUCAAUCCUAUGACCCGAGCCAGGUACGCAUAUUUAGAAUUAUACUUAAAAGCGAUAUUUUGGUCAAAUAUUAGCGAAAGUCCUUCGUCGUAAAUGAAGGACUAAAAUUGACCAAGAAGCCCUUGACGGGUGAAUUGGGCAAACGACCCAUAUGGGUUGUUUAGGAACUUGUAUAGUAUGGUGGAAUAUAAGUAGUAAACUAAUACGGGAAUGCGAAGGGUGGAAGAAAGGAGCUAGUUUAGACUAAAUAGCUUAAAUACCCUUAACGGGUCAAAAUAAGCAUACGAGCGAAAACAUGUUAAAAUAUAUAAGAAACCCACAAUUAGAACCUAACAUGGUAGAUAAUAUUGAAUUGAAGAGGUUCAUGUGAAAUAAUGAUCAAACAAAUAUGUUUGUUUGAUAAAUGCAUAAACGGGUCAAAAUUUUGUAAAAAGGUAAUAAGCCAAAGGCAUAAAAGUCUCAAAAUUUGUUAAUCCGGAUGUUGGAUUUUAACUCCGGAUGACGAAGGAUCAAAUUACAAUCAUGUAGGAAGAAACGGUAGGUCAAACGGACAAGCGGAUUAAAAGUUAUGAAGGUUUUCGUUUUAGAAAACGGCAAACUUGGAAAAUCCUGCAGAGGCCACCGUAAGUUACGGUAGCUACCGUAACUUACGGUAGCCUUAAAGUCAUUACGCCACACACACACUGUUUUACGGUGGAAAAAUCAACAUUCAGGGGCUACUGUAAAUUACGGUAGCCACCGUAAUUUACGGUAGACCCUGUAACAAAAUGUAUUUUAAUCAGUUUCGCUUUCCGGACUUGUUUAGACAUGUUUUAAACUCCGUAUGACUAAAGCAUUUCAUGUUUAUCAAAUGUAGGUACAUUUUGGAUGCCGAAAGACGAUCAAGCUCAACGAAGAACCGAACACGAUAAAGAUUCAUGCUUCCGCACAUUGCCUCGUCGUAAAUUUAAACGACGAAUCCGAUCACGUUAUGUUGAAUAACUUAUGAUUUCAAAAAGUUUUAAUAAACCCGUAUUUUAAAUGUACGUGUAUUUCAUAAGAACACAAUUGCUUGUCGUUUUUUUAGUACUAAAACCCUUAUAUAA